rnacentral:tRNA from 1 species
CGGGGUGUAGCUCAGAUUGGUAGAGCACCUGGUUUGGUAACAGGGGGUCACAUGUUCAAAUCGUGUCAUCCCGA